rnacentral:lncRNA from 1 species
GAUUGAAUAUCUUUCUAUAUUUUGCAAUUUUCAUUCUGAUUAUAGCUUUUAUUCUACAUAUGUGUUUAUUUUAUUAUUAUUAUUAUUAUUUUCUCUUUCUUAGGACGUUUGCUAGAUUUUCACUGGAUUUGUUCAGACAUCCCACUGCUGUUAAUAAGGUUGGAUAUAUCUCUUGGCUCAAAGAAAUGGUUUGUUCUCUGUUCCUGAGAUACUGGUGAAAGGCUGUAAUUAAGGUAAGAAUGUGAUAACAUGAAAUUUUGUGCAAUUUAUUAGUCUUGCAACCUUA